UUGUUUGAUUUACCGUGACAGCAUGCAGC
rnacentral:sRNA from 1 species